AAGCGUUGUCCGGCAUUAUUGGGCGUAAAGCGCGCGCAGGCGGCCUUUUAAGUCUGAUGUGAAAUCUUGCGGCUCAACCGCAAGCGGCCAUUGGAAACUGGGAGGCUUGAGUACAGAAGAGGAGAGUGGAAUUCCACGUGUAGCGGUGAAAUGCGUAGAUAUGUGGAGGAACACCAGUGGCGAAGGCGACUCUCUGGUCUGUAACUGACGCUGAGGCGCGAAAGCGCGGGGAGCAAACAGG
rnacentral:rRNA from 1 species